rnacentral:rRNA from 1 species
AGUGAACGCUGGCGGUAGGCCUAACACAUGCAAGUCGAACGGCAGCACAGUAAGAGCUUGCUCUUACGGGUGGCGAGUGGCGGACGGGUGAGGAAUACAUCGGAAUCUACUUUUUCGUGGGGGAUAACGUAGGGAAACUUACGCUAAUACCGCAUACGACCUACGGGUGAAAGCAGGGGAUCUUCGGACCUUGCGCGAUUGAAUGAGCCGAUGUCGGAUUAGCUAGUUGGCGGGGUAAAGGCCCACCAAGGCGACGAUCCGUAGCUGGUGUGAGAGGAUGAUCGCCCACACUGGAACUGAGACACGGUCCAGACUCCUACGGGAGGCAGCAGUGGGGAAUAUUGGACAAUGGGCGCAAGCCUGGUCCAGCCAUACCGCGUGGGUGAAGAAGGCCUUCGGGUUGUAAAGCCCUUUUGUUGGGAAAGAAAAGCAGCAGGUUAAUACCCCGCUGUUCUGACGGUACCCAAAGAAUAAGCACCGGCUAACUUCGUG